rnacentral:lncRNA from 1 species
UAUGAUAAUAAAAUAUUUUUUAAAAAAGAUAAAACCAAAUUUAUUAUAACUUUACCAAAUUAUUGUAAACAAAACGCAUGGUUUCCAACUCUUUAUUUUUCGCCUGAUCAUAUUCAUACAACUUUAAAACCUUUUUGGUUUUUCACAUUUAAAAUUAAUAAACCAUAUUUUGUUAUAUCUUCCAACAGUUUGACUAAUAUAUAUGAACACAAUGAUAAAAACUAUUUUAUUUAUAAAACUACAAAUAAAGAAGCAAAACUAUUGCCUCACCAAAUUGGUUUAUAUGCAGGUCAUUUUCAUUUUUUACAUUUAAACACACUCAAACUAAAGGACUUCGAAACUAUUAAUUAUAAUUUUUUAUAUAAUAAUGAAAAUAUUCCAAAAAAUAGUAAAGUUUAUUCCUUUGAAAACUUUCAAAAAAACAAAAAUAAAAAUACCUAUAUUAAACAAACACAACAUAUGCUCAAAAUAGAAAAAAAAAUAGAAAACAAUACUUAUUUAAAAAAAAACGAACAACUCGUUGAUAAAAAUAAACAUAUUAGUUCGAGUAAAAAAUAUUACGAAGAGUCAGACAGUAUGAGCGAUGUUUUGUUUUAUAGUGAUGAAAAAGAAGGUGUCGACACUGCUUAUGUUACUUCUGUUACGGCUGCUGCUACUACUGCUACUGCUACUACUGCUACUGCUACUACUGCUACUGCUACUACUGCUACUGCUACUACUGCUACUGCUACUACUGCUACUGCUACUACUGCUACUGCUACUGCUACAACCACUACUGCUACAACCACUACUGCUACAACCACUACUGCUACAACCACUACUGCUACUACUGCUACUGCUACAACCACUACUGCUACUACAAAUGGUACUACCACUAUCACCAAUCAUAACAACAGCUUACACGACCAUGACGCCUUUACUAAUGACAUACCAACUGCGAAAAAAAGAAAAAUGCAACGUCAUGACAAAGUUCAUUCGAAUGUACACCCCGAUGGAGCAACUAGUCAUACAACUGACGUACUAGACAUUACCCAUCUGACCUGUAACAAUAACCACCAAAUGUAUGAUACUAGUUUGAAAGAGGAAAACAAAAAAAAAAAGUUAAAACAACAAAUGGACAUAGUUGAUGAUGUGAAUUGUAUAAACAAAGCAGACACACAUGUACUGGUACAAACACCUACGGAAGCACAUUUCGCCAAAGGUCAACCUCCAUGUUACUACGAAAAAGUAAACGAUAAAAUCGUUCCACAAAUUUACGUAUUUUCGGCUAAAAAUGAGAAAAACGAAUUAAUAUAUUCAAGUUUGCAUAUCGGUUAUAUAUUAAAAAUUUUUUUAAAUAUAAGUAAAGAAAGUUUUUUUUAUGAUAACUUAAUAAUUGUAUUUGCUCCUUUAAGCUUUUGUUCAUUCGAAUCUUAUCAUAAUUCAGAAUCCAUUGAAAGUUCCAUUAACAAUCACAUACAUAAUGAUAUACAACGAGGUUAUAAUAUAUUUUCAAACAGUAAUCUGUUAAAUUGCAAAAUAAC